GACGAACGCUGGCGGCGUGCUUAACACAUGCAAGUCGAACGGAAAGGCCCUGCUUUUGUGGGGUGCUCGAGUGGCGAACGGGUGAGUAACACGUGAGUAACCUGCCCUUGACUUUGGGAUAACUUCAGGAAACUGGGGCUAAUACCGGAUAGGAGCUCCUGCUGCAUGGUGGGGGUUGGAAAGUUUCGGCGGUUGGGGAUGGACUCGCGGCUUAUCAGCUUGUUGGUGGGGUAGUGGCUUACCAAGGCUUUGACGGGUAGCCGGCCUGAGAGGGUGACCGGCCACAUUGGGACUGAGAUGCGGCCCAGACUCCUACGGGAGGCAGCAGUGGGGAUUAUUGCACAAUGGGCGGAAGCCUGAUGCAGCAACGCCGCGUGCGGGAUGACGGCCUUCGGGUUGUAACCCGCUUUCGCCUGUGACGAAGCGUGAGUGACGGUAAUGGGUAAAGAAGCACCGGCUAACUACGUG
rnacentral:rRNA from 1 species